UUCGUAGGCGGUGCGGCAAGUCGGAAGUGAAAUCCCUGGGCUUAACUCAGGGGCUGCUCCCGAAACUGCCGUGCUCGAGUGCGGGAGAGGCGAGUGGAAUUGCAGGUGUAGCGGUGAAAUGCGUAGAUAUCUGCAGGAACACCCGUGGCGAAGGCGGCUCGCUGGACCGCAACUGACGCUGAGGAACGAAAGCUAGGGGAGCAAACAGGAUUAGAUACCCUGGUAGUCCUAGCCCUAAACCAUCAGGACUUGGGGUGCAUCCCGUUCGGGGUGCGUCCCGGAGCUAACGCGUUAAGUCCUGCGCCUGGGGAGUACGGUCGCAAGGCUGAA
rnacentral:rRNA from 1 species